rnacentral:rRNA from 1 species
GAUUAACGCUGGCGGCGUGCAUAACACAUGCAAGUCGAACGAUGAAACUUAACUGAUUUCUUCGGAAUGAUUUUAAGUGGAUUAGUGGCGGACGGGUGAGUAACGCGUGAGUAACCUGCCUUGGAGAAGGGGAUAGCCUUUGGAAACGAAGAAUAAUACCCUAUGAUAUGAUAAUAUCUCAUGAUAUUAUCAUCAAAGAUUUAUCGCUCUAAGAUGGACUUGCGUCUGAUUAGUUAGUUGGUGAGGUAACAGCUCACCAAGGCAGCGAUCAGUAGCCGGCUGGAGAGAGUGUACGGCAACAUUGGGACUGAGACACGGCCCAGACUCCUACGGGAGGCAGCAGUGGGGAAUUUUGCACAAUGGGGGAAACCCUGAUGCAGCGACGCCGCGUGAUUUAGAAGGCCUUCGGGUUGUAAAAAUCUUUUGUAUGGGAAGAAAAUGACAGUACCAUACGAAUAAGGACCGGCUAAUUACGUG